UACGGAGGGGGCUAGCGUUGUUCGGAAUUACUGGGCGUAAAGCGCGCGUAGGCGGAUCUGCAAGUCGGGGGUGAAAUCCCGAGGCUCAACCUCGGAACUGCCUUCGAUACUGCGGGUCUCGAGUCCGGGAGAGGUGAGUGGAAUUCCUAGUGUAGAGGUGAAAUUCGUAGAUAUUAGGAAGAACACCAGUGGCGAAGGCGGCUCACUGGCCCGGUACUGACGCUGAGGCGCGAAAGCGUGGGGAGCAAAAGGG
rnacentral:rRNA from 1 species